rnacentral:rRNA from 5 species
UGGUUGUCGUCAGCUCGUGUCGUGAGAUGUUGGGUUAAGUCCCGCAACGAGCGCAACCCUUGAUCUUAGUUGCCAUCAUUAAGUUGGGCACUCUAAGGUGACUGCCGGUGACAAACCGGAGGAAGGUGGGGAUGACGUCAAAUCAUCAUGCCCCUUAUGACCUGGGCUACACACGUGCUACAAUGGACGGUACAAAGAGCUGCAAGACCGCGAGGUGGAGCUAAUCUCAUAAAACCGUUCUCAGUUCGGAUUGUAGGCUGCAACUCGCCUACAUGAAGCUGGAAUCGCUAGUAAUCGCGGAUCAG